rnacentral:piRNA from 1 species
UACGACUACAAGUUCCCCAUCGAGGAUGCCA